rnacentral:rRNA from 1 species
AUUGAACGCUGGCGGCAUGCCUUACACAUGCAAGUCGAACGGCAGCACGGGGCAACCUGGUGGCGAGUGGCGAACGGGUGAGUAAUGCAUCGGAACGUGCCAUUGAGUGGGGGGUAACGUAGCGAAAGUUGCGCUAAUACCGCAUAUUCUGUGAGCAGGAAAGCAGGGGACCGCAAGGCCUUGCGCUCUUUGAGCGGCCGAUGUCAGAUUAGCUAGUUGGUGAGGUAACGGCUUACCAAGGCGACGAUCUGUAGCGGGUCUGAGAGGAUGAUCCGCCACACUGGAACUGAGACACGGUCCAGACUCCUACGGGAGGCAGCAGUGGGGAAUUUUGGACAAUGGGCGCAAGCCUGAUCCAGCCAUGCCGCGUGAGUGAAGAAGGCCU